rnacentral:rRNA from 1 species
AUAGGUUAAGUUAUUAAGGGCGCACGGUGGAUGCCUUGGCACUAGGAGUCGAUGAAGGACGGCACUAACACCGAUAUGCCUCGGGGAGCUGUAAGUAAGCUUUGAUCCGGGGAUUUCCGAAUGGGGGAACCCACUAUCUUUAAUUGGAUAGUAUCUACACGUGAAUUCAUAGCGUGAUGAGGACAGACGCAGGGAACUGAAACAUCUAAGUACCUGCAGGAACAGAAAGAAAAUUCGAUUCCCUGAGUAGCGGCGAGCGAAACGGGAAGAGCCCAAACCAAAGAGCUUGCUCUUUGGGGUUGUAGGACACUCUAUGUCAGGAGUUACAAAAGAAUGGAUUAGACGAAGCGACUUGGAAAGGUCCGCGAAACAAGGUAAAAGCCCUGUAGUCAAAAGUUCAUUCCCUCCAGAGUGGAUCCUGAGUACGGCGGAACACGUGAAAUUCCGUCGGAAUCCGGGAGGACCAUCUCCCAAGGCUAAAUACUACCUAGUGACCGAUAGUGAACCAGUACCGUGAGGGAAAGGUGAAAAGCACCCCGGGAGGGGAGUGAAAUAGAUCCUGAAACCGUGUGCCUACAAGUAGUUAGAGCCCGUUAAUGGGUGAUAGCGUGCCUUUUGUAGAAUGAACCGGCGAGUUACGAUCCCAUGCAAGGUUAAGUCGAGAAGACGGAGCCGGAGCGAAAGCGAGUCUGAAUUAGGGCGUUUAGUUGCUGGGUGUAGACCCGAAACCAGGUGAUCUACCCAUGUCCAGGGUGAAGGUGAGGUAACACUUACUGGAGGCCCGAACCCACGCACGUUGAAAAGUGCGGGGAUGAGGUGUGGGUAGCGGAGAAAUUCCAAUCGAACCUGGAGAUAGCUGGUUCUCUCCG